rnacentral:rRNA from 1 species
GAUGGUGGAUGCCUCGGAAGUUGGGAAAUGAGGGCGUGGCGUAGCUGCGAUAAGCUGGGGGGAGGUGCGUAGCAACCUUUGAUCCCCAGAUUCCCUCUUAACCCGGGGAAGUGAAACAUCUCAGUACCCGGAGGAAAAGAAACCAAAAGGCAUUCCCUGAGUAGUGGCGAGCGAAAGGGGAGGAGCCCAAAUCCCAUCCCCCAGAUAUACGUCUGGGGAAUGGGAGGUUGUGGGGGUAAGACGGAGGAGGAAAGCUCCUCAGGGAGUUACAAAUCCUUUCUCUAGCCGAAGGAUCCUGGAACGGGCCGCCAUAGAGGGUGAAAGCCCCGUAGGCGAAAGGGAAAGACUCCCGGGUCUUACUUCCCGAGUACCUCGAGGCCAAGAAAACCUUGAGGGAAGCAGGGAAGACUAAUUUCCCAAGGCUAAAUAUCCCAACUUUACCGAUAGUGGACUAGUACCGCGAGGGAACGGUGAAAAGUAGGGAGGUGAUCCCGGUGAAAUAGAACCUGAAACCAUCCACUUACAAGGAGUCGGAGUCCCCCAGAUGUAUAUCUGGGGGAUGACGGCGUACCUAUUGGAGCAGGAUCCUACGAGUUUUCGUCUUUCCCAAGUCUAAGGGCUUAUGGCCCGGAGGCAAAGUGAAAGCGAGCGUGAAAUAGCGCGCGAGGGAAAGGCGAAAGACCCGAAGCCAGUCGAUCUAUCCCUGGGCAGGGUGAAGGUGGUGGAUAACACUGCUGGAGGCCCGAACCGGUGAGUUGUGCAAAACUCUCGGAUGACCUGGGGAUAGGGGUGAAAGGCCUAUCUAGGCUGGAAAUAGCUGGUUCUCCCCGAAAUAGCUUUAGGGCUAGCCUCAGGCGUUUCCUUGGUACGGUAGAGCACUGGAAGAGAUAGCUUACCUUUUUGGUGGCUAUCUCUACCAAACUCCGAAUGUAUCAAGGUAAGAGCCUGGGAGUCAGAGGGUGGGGGAGAAGCUCCAUUCUCGCGAGGGGAACAACCCAGACCCCAAGCUAAGGCCCCGAAAUCCGGGCUAAGUGCUAAAUUAAGGAAGUAGAAUUCCUCAGACAACCGGAAGGUGAGCUCAGAAGCAGCUAUCCUUUAAAAAGUGCGUAACAGCUUACCGGUCGAGGAAUUCUGCGCCGAAGAUUUAUAGGGGCUCAAGCCCGGUGCCGAAGCUGGGGUCCCCCAGAUAUACAUCUGGGGGGAGGUAGGGGAGCGUUCCCACCGGGCUGAAGGCAAAAAGUGAUUUUUGCUGGACUGGUGGGAAGUGAGAAUGUAGGAAUGAGUAACCGCAACCUGGGUGAAAGCCCCAGGGGCCGAAAGCCUAAGGUUUCCGUGGCAAUGGUUGUCAUCCACGGGUUAGGCGAUCCUAAGGCUAAGCCUUACAGGCGAAGCCAAAGGGUAGUGGGUUAAUAUUCCCACCCUACCUAGGAAUUCUGAAGGGUGCGAAGGAGAGUAGUCGGGAGGGGUUGCUAGGCUUGUCCUUCAGCCCAAUUUUGGGGGUUCCCGAUGAAUCUCUUUCCUAGAAAAGCCCGUAGGGUUAAUUCCUAGGUAAUCGUACCGCAAACCGACACAGGUGGGCUGCUAGAGUAUAGCCAAGGCCAACGGGUGAAAGCUGGGGAAGGAACUAGGCAAAAAAGCUACCCGUAAGCUCUGCGAGAUGGGUUUCCCCUCAGAGAUCCAUCUGGGGGGACGCAGCAAAAGUGUUCCGGGCGACUGUUUAACAAAAACACAGGUCCCUGCUACAAAGCGAAAGCUGAUGUAUAGGGGCUGAGGCCUGACCAGUGCCCGUGUGUUAUGGCUGGGGAUUUCUGGGGUUUUCCUGGAAGUCUACUAGCUUAAGCCACGGGUGAACGUCCGGGGUAACUCUGACCCUGCUAAGGUAGCGUAAUCCCUUGUCGGGUAAGUUCCGGCCCGCAUGAAAGGCUUUACGACUUGGAAACUGUCUCCCCCAGCUACCCGGUGAAAAUACAAUAAGCGUGAACAUGCGCUUUAGCCGCGGCUAGACGGAAAGACCCCGGCAGCUUUACUGUAAGGUGGUACUGACUUGUGAUUUCUGGUGCAUAGCGUAGCGGGGAGGCGAUGAAGCCGGGUCUCCGGGCUCGGUGGAGCCGAAAGUGGAACACCCGCCAUUGGAAAUUACAAUUCUUAUCUAAGCAAAGCCUGCAAGUUCUUUUUAAAAGAACGGGCGGGUUUUGCUGGAGAAAGUGCCACCUGGGCAGUUUAGAUGGGGCAUUUACCUCCUAAAAAGUAACGGAGGUGUGCAUAAGGUCGGCUUAGGGUGGAUGGAAAUCACCCUGAAAGUGCAAGGGCGAAAGCCGGCUUGACUGCGAUCGGGACACCGAGAGCAGAGGGGAAACCCGGCCCUAGUGAACCGACCCUUCUUCAUAGGAAGGGGGGAGAUCAUCGACCAAAAGUUACGCCGGGGAUAACAGACUGGUAGGGCCCGCGAGUUCACAUCUACGGCCCUGUUCGGCACCUCGAUGUCGGCUCGUCUCAUCCUGGGGGUGGAGAAGCUCCCAAGGGUUGGGCUGUUCGCCCAUUAAAGAGAUUCGUGAGUUGGGUUCAGUACGUCGUGAGACAGUACGGUCCCUAUCUACCGCGGCCGUUCGGGACCUUGAGGGGUGUGUGGGGUAGUACGAGAGGACCCUCCGCAACCGACCUCUGGUAUACCAGUUGUCCUGCCUAAGGGCACAGCUGGGUAGCUAUGUCGGGAAGGGAUAAGGGCUGAAAGCAUCUAAGCCCGAAGCCCACCCCAAGAUUAGGGUCCCCAAUUACCCCGCUCAGAGACUAUGAGCUUGAUAGGGCGCACCUGUAAGUCCCGUGAGGGAUUGAGGGGAGCGCUACUAACGG